rnacentral:rRNA from 1 species
GUCGUGAGGCAUGCUGGAGGUAUCAGAAGUGCGAAUGCUGACAUAAGUAACGAUAAAGCGGGUGAAAAGCCCGCUCGCCGGAAGACCAAGGGUUCCUGUCCAACGUUAAUCGGGGCAGGGUGAGUCGACCCCUAAGGCGAGGCCGAAAGGCGUAGUCGAUGGGAAACGGGUUAAUAUUCCCGUACUUGGUGUUACUGCGAAGGGGGGACGGAGAAGGCUAUGUUGGCCGGGCGACGGUUGUCCCGGUUUAAGCGUGUAGGUGUGUGUUCCAGGUAAAUCCGGUUCACUUUAACACUGAGGCGUGACGACGAGGCACUACGGUGCUGAAGCAACAAAUGCCCUGCUUCCAGGAAAAGCCUCUAAGCAUCAGGUAACAUCAAAUCGUACCCCAAACCGACACAGGUGGUCAGGUAGAGAAUACCAAGGCGCUUGAGAGAACUCGGGUGAAGGAACUAGGCAAAAUGGUGCCGUAACUUCGGGAGAAGGCACGCUGACACGUAGGUGAAGUGAUUUACUCACGGAGCUGAAGUCAGUCGAAGAUACCAGCUGGCUGCAACUGUUUAUUAAAAACACAGCACUGUGCAAACACGAAAGUGGACGUAUACGGUGUGACGCCUGCCCGGUGCCGGAAGGUUAAUUGAUGGGGUCAGCGCAAGCGAAGCUCCUGAUCGAAGCCCCGGUAAACGGCGGCCGUAACUAUAACGGUCCUAAGGUAGCGAAAUUCCUUGUCGGGUAAGUUCCGACCUGCACGAAUGGCGUAAUGAUGGCCAGGCUGUCUCCACCCGAGACUCAGUGAAAUUGAACUCGCUGUGAAGAUGCAGUGUACCCGCGGCAAGACGGAAAGACCCCGUGAACCUUUACUAUAGCUUGACACUGAACAUUGAGCCUUGAUGUGUAGGAUAGGUGGGAGGCUUUGAAGUGUGGACGCCAGUCUGCAUGGAGCCGACCUUGAAAUACCACCCUUUAAUGUUUGAUGUUCUAACGUGGACCCGUAAUCCGGGUUGCGGACAGUGUCUGGUGGGUAGUUUGACUGGGGCGGUCUCCUCCUAAAGAGUAACGGAGGAGCACGAAGGUUGGCUAAUCCUGGUCGGACAUCAGGAGGUUAGUGCAAUGGCAUAAGCCAGCUUGACUGCGAGCGUGACGGCGCGAGCAGGUGCGAAAGCAGGUCAUAGUGAUCCGGUGGUUCUGAAUGGAAGGGCCAUCGCUCAACGGAUAAAAGGUACUCCGGGGAUAACAGGCUGAUACCGCCCAAGAGUUCAUAUCGACGGCGGUGUUUGGCACCUCGAUGUCGGCUCAUCACAUCCUGGGGCUGAAGUAGGUCCCAAGGGUAUGGCUGUUCGCCAUUUAAAGUGGUACGCGAGCUGGGUUUAGAACGUCGUGAGACAGUUCGGUCCCUAUCUGCCGUGGGCGCUGGAGAACUGAGGGGGGCUGCUCCUAGUACGAGAGGACCGGAGUGGACGCAUCACUGGUGUUCGGGUUGUCAUGCCAAUGGCACUGCCCGGUAGCUAAAUGCGGAAGAGAUAAGUGCUGAAAGCAUCUAAGCACGAAACUUGCCCCGA